UAAGCAUUUAUGCAGUGCCCUCUGAA
rnacentral:piRNA from 1 species